AAAUUCUAGUUGGUAUUUGGAGGUUUUGAGGUUUUGGUGUGAUUUUUUGGAUACCUGGUCUACAAGGUUUUGGAGCCUCUGUAAUCAUUGGAGACACCCCCGCGCCAUCGGUCUAUGAUGACGUCACUGGCAGCCAGACCUCGACAGUAUCACACAUCAGGUCACUGUGGAAGUGAUUAUUUGGGCGAAAGGCAGGAAACACCCCGGACAGGUCGCCAGUCCAUCACAAGGCUCACACACACACUCAGGUCAGAUUGUCAGUCGCUCCAGUCUUUGGACUUGCUGGAGAAAACUGGAGCACCCAGAGGAAACCCUCGCGGACAUUCAGACUUCACACGAAAGGAAAUCAGACCCAGUGGAAGCAGCGGAUUGUCAAGACCGAUAAGUCCAGAAAGAGGACAGCCAGACAGAGACCAGGUCCAUAAUGAGCACACAGAGACCAAAGACAACAAAGACAGAGGUCAAUCCACAUGUUAGAAAAACAUGCAACAGCCCUCCAGAAUGCUGCGGAGUUAACGUGGCAGGAAUAAAACAAACAGCGUAACAAGUUCUGUCCUGUAAAAUAAACUUAAUAGUGCUAGGGUGAUGCGGUGGUCUAACGCACUAGCCCACCACCACUAAGGCUCGACUCUGGAGUUCCAGUGUGGGUUAGGAUCUGGUGACUGGAAUCUUUUUUUCCCACUACAUGAAAA